UACGGAGGGUGCGAGCGUUGUCCGGAAUCACUGGGCGUAAAGGGCGCGUAGGUGGCGCGGGCAGUCAACGGUGAAAGUUCGGGGCUCAACCCUGAAUCGGCCGUCGAUACUCCCGGGCUUGAGCACUGUAGAGGCUAAUGGAAUUCCGGGUGUAGCGGUGGAAUGCGUAGAGAUCCGGAAGAACACCGGUGGCGAAGGCGGUUAGCUGGGCAGUUGCUGACACUGAGGCGCGACAGCGUGGGGAGCAAACAGGG
rnacentral:rRNA from 1 species